rnacentral:lncRNA from 1 species
CUGCAGACCAGACUUCCAUGGCAGGCUGAGCUCUCCAAUCUUCAGUAAGGAAUUGCUGAAUAGGCACAGAGGGCACCUGCCACAUUCAGAUCAGUCUGCACCCUCAGGCAGAGGAGCAGUGAACUCAGGAGCUGGAGCAGUCCAUUUACCCUGAAAUUCCUCCUUGGUCACAGCUUUUUUUCAGCAACAGCUUGCUCUUCCUUUUCAUCUUUUUUUAUCUUAUUAUAUAUAUAUAUUUUUUUGAGACAGAGUCUCACUCUGUUGCCCAAGCUGCAGUGCAGUGGUGCUGUCUCAGCUCACUGCAACCUCCACCUUCUGGGUUCAAGUGAUUCGCCUGCCUCAGUGUCCCAAGUAGCUGGGACUACAGGCACGUGCCACCAUGCCAGCUAAUUUUUGUAUUUUUAGUAAAGACCGGGUUUCACCAUGUUGGCCAGGCUGGUCUUGAACUCCUGACCUCAGUGAUUCACCCACCUUGGUCUCCCAAAGUGAUGGGAUUACAGGCGUGAAUCACCACACCUGGCCUUCCUUUUCAACCUCUUUAGGAUCUCUAUAAAAGUAGAGAUCAGGCCUGAGCUCCCAUGAGUGUUCACAGGAGAUGGUGCCAUGCAUGCACAGAAGUUCCCAAACCAGCAUCCACCAUAUCAAACCCGGAAUCUGUGUGAGAAGGCAUGCCUUCAUACUUCAGGCAGUUUACAAGACAGCCUUAGCUUUCGUUUUCUGCUUGCUACAGAGCCUUAAGGUCAGCCAGAAGCGAGUGACUGGAAACUUCUUCAUUCCCAUCUCUCUCCUGGCAUCUCACCAUUGUCACAAUGACUGCCAGUUCCCAGGCCUCAACCUGGAAUCUCAGAAGCAACUCUUUUUGUACAGCUGAGGGGCACCUGGAACAUAGAAGUUAAGAAGAGAUCUGGCUGGGAUCAAGAAACCUCUUUUCACUGCACCUGAGGCUCAGUUGUGCCCUCUGCUGACACUAGGUCAGGAGGCUGGACAGCUCCAACUGGAAACUUGGAGCAGGGUUUUAAGACCUCUGCUUUCUCACUUUGAAGAAUUGGAAUAGAAAAAUAGAAAAUACAAAAAUGAUGAGUCCUUGGAAUUGAUAGGACACGUAGACUUGAGAGACUUGAACAUGUUUUUUGUCUGUUUGAUUCCCUUCUCUAUUCCCAGUGUUUCGAGCAGUUCUAGUCCAUGGUAAGUGCUCAGUAAAUAUUUGUGCUGAUGAGCAAGCAAAAGGCUGUUCUGCUGUGAAAGGUAUGGUGGAGACCCUUAUGCUCCUAGAAAGAUGCAGAGAACAAUUGCCUUGUUUCCUGACAAGUCCCUGUCCAAGGUCCUCAUCAGGCUUAGGUAGGCUUCCUGCCCUCUGGUUCUAGGAGAUAUCCCUAUAUGUGUGUAACAAAUCAUUUUUUUUUCUUAUACUAUAUUGAGGGGUUUGGCAUAGAUUGCCAGUCUUUUUUUAUUUUUAUUUUUAUUUUUAGACAGAGUCUUGCUCUGUCGCCCAGGCUGGAGUGCAGUAGCACCAUCAUGACUCACUGCAGCCUCAACUUCCCAGGCUCAGGUGAUCCUCCCAUCUCAGCCUCCCAAGUAGCUGGGAUUACAGGUGUGGGCCACUGUGCCCAGCUCUAGGCUGGUCUUGAACUCCUAGGCUCAAGUGAUCCUCCCGCCUUCGCCUCCCAAAGUGUUGGAAUUACAGGUGUGAGCCAACAAGCCUAGCCAAUAAACUGAGCAUUCUUUUUAUUUUAUUUUAUUUUAUUUAUUUAUUUAUUUAUUUUUGAGAAGGAGUUUCACUCUUGCUGCCCAGGCAGGAGUGCAAUGGCGCUAUCUCUGGCUCACCGCAACCUCUGCCUCCCGGGUUCAAGUGAUUCUCCUGCCUCAGCCUCCCGAGUAGCUGGGAUUACAGGCAUGUGCCACAAUACCCGGCUAAUUUUGUAUUUUUAGUAGAGACGGGUUUUCUCCAUGUUGGUUAGGGUGGUCUCGAACUCCCAACCUCAGGUGAUCCGCCUGCCUCAGCCUCCCAAAGUGGUAGGAUUACAGGUGUGAGCCACCACACCCGGCCCUGAACAUUCUUUUAAAUAAUUCAGAUGGGCUGAUUCCAUUCAGGGGGUCCCAUAUAUGGAGCUUUACUUAAUUUGAAGGGUGAAAGGGGCAAAUGUUAAUAAAUCACGGUUCCUAUGCUUUGGCAUCUGCUGAGAUAGCUUUUUCUGCUACUUCUCUUGACAUCCUGGCCCCUGUGAGGACCAUGAUGUUCCUUGGGUGCAUCUCCCAAAUCCCAGGAGCACAGUUUCUACUAUCCUACAACCUCACCAUGCUGGGCAAGGUAGAGGUAAGGCUUAAAGACUGGUGCCUGCCUUCCCAGGUUGGCCCAAGAAAAUGAGGCACAUAUUCUGUUGCAACUGAGCCCCAAACCAUCUGGAGGAAUUCAGUUGACUCCCCUCACGGGCCCUUGCAUGUGGAGAGGGCCAGGAACAGGAUAACUUACUUUUGAACACACCACUAUCUAAGUUCUUUAGUUUUUUCUCCAGUUCUCCUCCCCUUAUAGCUUGUAGAAUUAUUUUUUUUUUCUGAGAACUUUAAAACAUUUUAUUUUGUUUUGUUUUGUUUUGUUUUUUGAGACAGGGUCUUGAUGUCACCCAGGCUGGAGUGCAGAUCAUAGUUCACUGCAGCCUCCAACUCCUACGCUCAAAUGAUCCUCCUGUCUCAGCCUCCCAAGUAGCUGGGACUACAGGUGUGUGUCACCAUGCCUAGCUAAUUUUUAAAUUUUUCUUUUGUAAAGAUGGGGGUCUCGCUUUGUUGGUCUCAAAUUCCUGUCCUCAAGCGAUCCUCCCACCUCAGCCUUCCAAAGCACUGAGCCACUGAGUCCAGUCUUUUUUUAUUAAAUACAGAAAAAUAUGGAGAAUAAUAAAAUGAACGUGUGUCCUCACUACCAAGGAUCAAAGAUUAUUAACAUUUUGUCAUAUUUCUGCUGUAUUUUAAAGAAAUACAAAAAUUACAGAUAAAUUUUAUAUUCUUUUACCUCUUGCUCUGCACCCCAGAGUCCCAUUAACCAUGUCCUCUCCCCAAGGGUAACAACUACCAUAUUUGUUUGUAUUUUUCCAGUACAAUUUUUAGAUUUUACGUACAUUAGAUUACUUUAUACUAUAUAUAUUACACAAAUUAUUUUACUUUAGCAAUAUAUGAUAAUGUCUUUUUUUUUUUUUUGAGAUGAAUUCUUGCUCUGUCGCCCAGGCUAGAGUGCAGUGGCGCGAUCUCGGCUCACUGCAACCUCCACCUCCUGGGUUCAUGCAAUUCUCCUGCCUCAGCCUCCUGAGUAGCUGGGAUUAGGUGUGUGCCACCAUGGCCAGCUAAUUUUUGUAUUUUUAGUAGAGACGGGGUUUCACCAUGUUGGUCAGGCUGGUCUCGAACUCCUGACCUCAAGUAAUCCACCCAAUUUGGCCUCCCAAAGUGUCAGGGUUACAGGGAUGAGCCACCGCGCCUGGCCUAUAAUAAUGUCUUGAAUGUGUAUGAAAUGUAUAUAAAUAUGCUAUGCCAUAUCAAUUUGUGUAUUCAUUUCAAAUCAUCCUCUUAGGACUGGGCAUGGUACCUCACACCUGUAAUCCCAGCACUUUGGGAGGCCGAGAUGGGAGGAUUGCUUGAGGCCAGGAGUUUGAGACCAGACUGGCCAACAUAGUGAGACCCCAUUUCUAUUUUAUACAAUUAAAAUAUUGGCUGGGAACAGUGGCUCAUGCCUGUAAUUUCAGCACUUUGGGAGGCCAAGGGGGGCAGAUCACUUGAGGUCAGGAGUUUGAGACCAACCUGGCAAAUAUGGUGAAACCCCAUCUCUACUGAAAAUACAAAAAUUACCUGGACAUGGUGGUGGGCACCUGUAAUCCCAGCUACUUGGGAGGCUGAGGCAGAAGAAUUGCUUGAACCUGGGAGGCAGAGACUGCAGUGAGCCUAGAUCACGCUACUGCACUCCAGCCUGGGUGACAGAGUGUGACUCUGUCUCAAAAAAAAAUUAAUUAAAUUAAAUUAAAAUAUUAAAAAUAAAAUAAUCCACUUAGGCUGGUGCAUGGCUCAUGCCUGUAAUCCCAGCACUUUGGGAGGCCAAGGCAGGAGGAUUGCUUGAGGCCAGGAGUUUAAGACCAGCCUGGGUGGCAACAUAGUGAGACCCUGUCUCUACAAACAAUACAAAAAUUAGCCAGGUAUAAUAAUGUACACCUGUAGUCCCAGCUACUGAGGAGGCUGAGGUGGGAGGAUCACUUGAGUCCAGGAAUUAAAUGUUACAGUGGGCUAUGAGCCUGCCACUGUACUCCAACCUGGACAACAGAGUGAGACCCCAUCUCAAAAAAAAAUUUAUAAAAAUGCAAUUAUUUGGCCGGGCGUGGUGGCUCAUGCCUGUAAUCCCAGCACUUUGGGAGGCUGAGGCGGGUGAAUCACCUGAGGUCAAGAGUUCAAGACCAACCUGGCCAACAUGGUGAAACCCCGUCUCUACUAAAAGUACAAAAAAUUAGCCGUGCAUGGUGGCAGGCACCUGUAAUCCCAGCUACUCAGGAGGCUGAGGCAGGAGAAUUGCUUGAACCUGGGAGGUGGAGGUUGCAGUGAGCCAAGAUUGCAGCACUGCACUUCAGCCCGGGUGACAAGAGCAAGACUCUGUCAAAAAAAAAAAAAAAAAAGCAAUUAUUCCUUUACUAUCUUGUAAUAUUAUUUUUGAGAUGUUUCCAUGUUGACACAGUGUACCAGUUAGGAAUGCUUCUGGCUAAAGAUAACACGAAACCCAACCAAGAGUGAUUUAAACAAACGAACUUUUUUCUCUCACAUACAAAUAUUCUGGAGGUCGAUAGCUGUUGGCAUUUUUUUUCCCAUAACUCAGUUAUGUCAGGGACAGAAUUUCUGUACUUCUGGCACUUUCUUCACGGCUGUAUGCAGGGGGAAAGUGCAGUGCCAGCUGCAUUUGUCUCUAGAAUCCCUCAACAAACUUCCAUUUAUAUCUCUGAUCAGCUGGGCACGGUGGUGCACCUGUGGUCCCAGCUACUCAAAAGGCUGAGCCCAAGAGUUUGAGACCAGCCUGGGCAAAAUAAUGAUACCCCUUCUCAAAAAAAGAAAAAAAAAUCUCAUCGAUCAUUAUUUUCCCAUGGCCUACGUGCAAAGGAGCUUAGGAAAGAGGAUAAUUAGUCUUUUCAGCCCCAUAGAGAAGGUGGCAAAUGGAGAAAAGAGUCAGGAAUGGUUGCUGGGUCAGUCAAUGUCUAGUAUAUUAUUCCUAAAAGAAUAUUUCUUGUGACUGCUAUCACUGUUAUAUGGAUUUUCUUACUUAUUCCACUACUGAUGGAUGUUUCCAAUGUUUGCCAUUUCAAGCAAUGAUGCAAUGAACAACCUUGUAUAUGUCUUCUUGUGAAUUUGUAAAAUCUUUAUCGUCUCCAUUGCACAAAAAAACUGGCUCUGCUAAAUUGUAUAUUUUUGCAUACCAGGAUAUGUUUUUGAAACAAAAAAGCUGAAUGUUUAACUUUUUUUCCUCUCUAACAUCAUGUUCCUGAGGCACAAACCCAAAUAUCCUUCAGUGAGGGAAGGAUCAAGAGGGAGUAGGGAUGUCUAGGGGUGGAAAGCUAGUGAACAUUAUAAAAAUAAUUUCCUGCUAAAAAGAAAUUAUAAAGUCUUAAUAUAUUAGAAAUUAUAUUCUGAAUUAGUACAUAAACAAAAACUAGGACAUCAAAAAGACUCACAAAGAAGCAGAAAUCUCAGAACAGACCACACAGGAUGAAAAGAACAGUGCAACACAAGAAUUCAGUAUAGUUAGGAGCUCAAACAAACAAGACCAAUCAUACUAGUUACAGGGUAUCCUCAAUUCCCUAGCGAGGAGGAACAGGAGAUUUUUAUCUGUGUCAGUAAAGAUUCUUUACAUUGCAAGUGAAGAAAAAUCCAAGGCAAACUGCUUUCACUAGAAAAGGAAACAGAAAAGACUAUUGCUAAGUCCAGUGAUGGUCAUGACUUUAUCCAAAGUUCAAAUCAUGUUAGUAGGACCUAGCUCCCAGAUCCUCUUCCUCUGAGUGUUAGCUUCAUUUUCAGGCAAGUUCCUUUCCUGGUAACAGAAUGGCUGUAGCAGUCUCAACUUCACAUUCAUAGGACACAGAAUCCUGAAGAAGAAUUUAGCUUAUCUUCCAGUAGCUUCAUUUUAUUAGGGAGAGGUUUUUCUUUCCCAAGAGCCCCAGCAAAUAUCCUUAUAUCUCACUGGGCUUCUGACUAGGUUAUGAGUUCAUUAAUGAACCAUCAGUAAGGCCAUGGAGAUGGAAUAUGUUGACUGACCUAACCCAGUCUGAGCUCUCCCAGAGCUGAGGCUGAGACCAAUUCUACCCAAUCACAUAGCUUGAGAGUAGGGGAGGGAGUGAUUACCCAGGAUAAAAUCUUUGUAUUAUUUCACCAAAAGAAGGGUGUUCAACCCAGCGAUCUCGUUACUGGGUAUACACCCAAAGGAAAAUAAAUCGUUCUACCGAAAGGACACAUGCAUCCAUGUGUUCAUUGCAGCGCUGUUGACAACAGAAUCAACCCAGGUGCCCUCAAUGGUGAAUUAGAUUUAAAAAAUGUGGUACGCAUACACCACAGAAUACUAUGCAGCUAUAAGAAAGAACAAAAUCAUGUCCUUUACAGAAACAUGGGUAGAGCUGUAGGCCACUAUUGUAAGCAAAUUAACACAGGAACAGAAAAGCAAAUACCUCAUGUUCUCACUUAUAAGUGGGAGAUAAACAUUGGAUACACAUGGGCAUAAAGAUGAGCGCAAUGACACUAGGUACUAAAGGGGGAAGAGGGGGUGGAGGGCAAGAGCUGAAAAACUACCCAUUGGGUACUAUACUGACUACCUGGGUAAUGGGUUCACUCAUACCCCAAACCUCUGCAUCAUGCAAUAUAUCUUUGUAACAAAUCUGCACAUGUACCCUCUAAUGUGAAAAUAAAAGUUGAAAAAGAAAAAAGAAG